UGUGGUGUAAAGGAUGUUCCGCCUAUUAAUUUACUUUUAUUAUGUUGGUGUAUAUCUGGUUUAAUAUUAUUGUUGUAAUAAUAUAGUUUGUGUAGUAUUUAGUUAAGCCAAGUCUAUGUGCUGCUUAUAGAAGUAUUCAUGCGUUACUUUUAUAAAGUUUUAGCUGUAAUGCUAUCAUAUUUAGGACUUAAAAGUAAUGU
rnacentral:rRNA from 1 species